rnacentral:rRNA from 1 species
UACGUAGGGCGCAAGCGUUGUCCGGAAUUAUUGGGCGUAAAGAGCUCGUAGGUGGUUUGUCGCGUCUGCCGUGAAAACCUGCAGCUUAACUGUGGGCGUGCGGUCGAUACGGGCAUCACUGGAGUUCGGCAGGGGAGACUGGAAUUCCUGGUGUAGCGGUGAAAUGCGCAGAUAUCAGGAGGAACACCGGUGGCGAAGGCGGGUCUCUGGGCCGAUACUGACGCUGAGGAGCGAAAGCGUGGGGAGCGAACAGG